rnacentral:rRNA from 1 species
CAGUCGCCGCGGUAAUCCGGAGGGGGCUAGCGUUGUUCGGAAUUACUGGGCGUAAAGCGCACGUAGGCGGCUUGGUAAGUUAGAGGUGAAAGCCUGGAGCUCAACUCCAGAAUUGCCUUUAAGACUGCCGAGCUAGCAGGUGAGAGAGGUAAGUGGAAUUCCGAGUGUAGAGGUGAAAUUCGUAGAUAUUCGGAAGAACACCAGUGGCGAAGGCGGCUUACUGGCUCAUACUGGACGCUGAGGUGCGAAAGCGUGGGGAGCAAACAGGAUUAGAUACCCCCGUAGUCCCUGUCUCUUAUAC